AUGAUCUGUGCAAGGACAUAUCCCAGCGACUGGGGACCCAAACCUGGACAGGACACCUGGCUCUUCCAAUUCCAUCAUGACACUUUUCCAAAUGAUUCCUGGGAGCCCCCUGAUGCAAACGUCUAUAGCUGCAACUCUGUCUCCACCACAGACAGAAAGAGAAAGGACAGAAAAGUUUAUGCAUCAUGAGCCAAGGGUUUACCUGCUGACUUGGACGCAUAGGGGAAAUUACACUCAUUAGGAAGAACAGUGGGGGCAUGAGAAAGAGACGACAAAGAUCUUCGGAAACCAGCUCCCCGCCAUCCCCUUUGCUCUGACUCAAGAGUCUUGCCAGAGGCAGGGGACAAUACAUUCACCACUCAGCCUACGUAUUAGUGAAAGACAUUUUAUGUAGCUUGAUGAAAAGAUGCCUGAAAGACAAAGUGACAAGCCUUCAAAUCCCAAAAAGUUUCAAAACGUCAACAGAGUUCUAUGAACAAGUGGUGUUCUGAGAUCAGAUGCCACCGUGUCUUUGACAUCUCUUAUUAAGAGAAAGAGGACCUAACUGAGGAAUCACUGUGUUAAGUCUAUUCUCCAGUCACAAAGGAUGUGAAUCAUCAAGGCACAAAGCACUAGAGUUCCUUGUCUUGCAGCUGCCAACCUGGCGUGAACUGAGAGACAUCUUCUUUGAAGUUAUCACCUCAUCAGUAUUCAGUUGAGCUGACGUUUUCCUGGCAUGCCCUAUGCUCCUGCUUAAGCUCACACUGGGAGGGGAGGCACCUGAUUAUAAAUGAGAGGGCUGAAGGAUCUUCUUUAGAUGUGACAGUUUGAAAAGAAUGUUUGUGGAAGUGGUUACUUGAGAGUAGCCUCAAGGGCAAAUUCCAACAAAAUCAACUCUAACACUUAAAAUUAGAGGCAAAGAUUAUUUAAACAGAGUGAAGUGACCAUGGAUUUGAAUGUCUUGAAAGAAUUUAAGGCAUUUCCCAGUAAGUUUAAAGAAGUUUGAUUAUUUUUCUAUAAUUAGAAGGAAACAUGGUAGGAAAGAUCACCUAUUCCAUCCUCAAUUUCCUCUUUUGUGGAGCAGUAAAAUCUCUAAGCAGAUGACAAAUUUUUCAAAUCUCAUUGCUGAAAGCUGUUACCUAGCAACUAGUGACUUAAAUUAUCAAGGGGAAAAAACCCUACAUUCUAAGACAAUUUGAUACUCUAAGGACAAUCAGAUUAAGAAAAAACAAAAUAUUCCUGUAUUUCUCCAGUAUAGUUUCUCAGCGAUAUUAGGCGAAAAUACCUUUGAGCAAAAAUAUAGAAGAUAUUCCUCAAGGAGUGCCUGGCUAAGCAUCGGACUCUUGAUUUCAGCUUGUGAGUUCUUUCCCUUACACACGUGUGUGUGUGUGUGUGUGUGUGUGUCUGUGCACGCAUCCUGUCCUCUAUCUCUUGCAAAUAAAUAAAUCUUUAAGCACACGAAAAGAAGAUCUAACUCAAGCCAUACCUAGAGCAGACCCACUAAUCCACUCUGUAAAGAUAGGUGAUAAUCAAGAAAAAGCUACACCACAGAAUUUAUGAUUCUCUCUGGUAUCAUUUUAGGUACAGAGGGUGAUUUGCAUUUACUUACCUAAUAAGAGCUUGUUGUAAGAAUCAAAUGGUGUUUAACUAGCAAUCCACAUUUUACUGUUAAUUGUCACGUAGUCUCAGCAUCAGAUUUAAUGAUCAUUUCACAUUUAAAUCAUAGAGUAAUCUCCACUCACACCGUCUUCAUUUGGAAUGUUCUAGGAUGACUUAAGAAGCUACCCCUUUCUUUCCUAUCUGCUUCUCCUGCCCGUCUUUUUUUUUUUUUUUUUUUGACUGACUGACUGACUGACUGACUUAAUUAAUUUAUUUUAGAGAGAGCGAGCAAGUGAGCAAGCUAGCCAGAGGAACAGAGGGAAAGAAUCUCAAACAGCCUCUCCGCUGAAUGUGGGGCCCAAGGUGGGGCUCCAUCCCAUGACCCUGAGAUCACAACCAUGAGCUUAUGACCUGAGCUGAAA
rnacentral:lncRNA from 1 species